CCAUUUUAUCAAACGUCGCUGGCACUAUUACCCUCAUAGCAGUCAUAUCCGUGAGCCGAGCGUCUGUCUCAUCAUAAUGUCCACAUGAAGUGCACCCAAGCGUUUGCUACUAAAAGGGCUUGCUCAUUUGGUUACCACAGAUGUCCCACUAGAAGAGUUUGUAUAACUUUGGCAUUUUUCAAACAAGAAAUGUGGCUCCAUCUCUGCUCUGACUCCAGGUCACCACGUCCAUUCCUUCACUGGCAUUAGAG